AGCGUCUGAUGCCACCCUUCAAGGGCCCCUUGACUCUCCGGCUGAUUCGGACUGGAGACCUGAUGGGAAAUACAGUCUUUAACACAUUUGAGAACAGUUUUGACAUACAUUUUGUUCCCUGAUCAGUUUGGAUUACUUUAGGGAGUCAAAACAUAUAACAUCUUAGCCGUUAUAGUAUGGAGAGGGAUAGCCUCUGGGUAUUGAGUAGCACAGCACAUUGUUAGUUAGAACUGGUUACCUGACCUAGUUUUUGGCAACAGACCUACACAAUCAAUUAUCACUCAUUCAAACGGUUCCCCCACCACAGGAAUCGGGCAGAGCUGCGCACAAGAAACUGUUUGAGUCGCUUUCCCUGUUUUACAAAAUUGGACAAUGUCAGACUUCAAACCUGGCCAGAAAAAAAAUGAUGAAGGACUUUGUGAUCCCCAAAUGUCUGGACCACACCUGGUCAUGGACGAGUGACAGCCCCUGCUGUCAGAACGGUGUAGGAACAACCACUUGAACCACUUCACUCCAGUUACUGACUGUUAUGAGCUGCCCAUUUACGCAUCAAAACUCCUGCUUCCAUAAAGUAGGCGGUGUCCCUAGUUUUAGUUCCCUCAAUGGAAAUUACUGAAGCAAAACACUUGCAAAGACUGGUGUCUCCCUUUUGACAUUCAAUCACCUUCUCGGGGGUGACAGACAAAAGAAUGUAACGUAAUUGGGGCGUGAUUUUGCUUUCCCAUGCCUUAGUUGUUUUUACGGGGGUAAAAACCGUCAGCAUUGCAGAAGGAAUACUCGAUGCAUUGUCUGCUACCUCAACAUUCUCAAAAAUGGAACUACACAAUUCCACCACAUGUCCCAGCUUGCGAGAUUGUGCCCUCAACACAAGCAGGAAAAACAUGGGGAAAUGCUUGAACCAAUUUAUCAUCUGCAGUUUUGAUUUCUGGGUUGUCUACUACUUCUAACACAAGAGUUACGUUACCACCAGCGAUAUUGUUCCCUAGUAGCAACGAGACUCCUUUUACAGGCAGUGUUGACACUACACCAACACGGAAACGUCCUGAUACCAAGUCUGACACUAAGUGGACCCAGUGUAAUGGUACAGAGAGCUGAGUUGCUAUGGGGGCAGGAACUGUAUGUUCCAUUUUGUUACUCUGCAUCUGCCCCUACUGCCACACCUUCCCUGCAAAUGACUGCCAGGUGAGCCUGAACUUUGCAGCUGAGGCAGAGAGGUUCUGUGCAGCCUUGGAGAGACAGAUCCAACAAGCCCCAGAUUUGGAAAGCAACACACACACACGUCACAUCACAUUUACGAUAUAAUUAGUUCUCUCAGCUUCAGGCAGGCCAGUCCUCUUCUCUUUCUCCCCUCCUCUUCCCCGAUCUCGCUGUCUCACGUCACUCUUUCUCAUUUUCUCCCCAUAACACUUUAAUUUACUCUUUAUCUCUUGCUGUCUCUCUUCCUCUCCCUCUCUUUCUCAAACAGAGCUAGUGGGCAGACUCAGCUGAACCGUACUGACAGUGUGGACUCUGCCUCAGGCUGUUUGUGUGAACAGGAACAGAGCAGAUCUGGGAUCAGCAUUCCAUCUCCAGAUGUGUCAGAACGAGAACAUCAGCACACUGGAGCUCAGACAGACCCAGAUAAUUCAUUAUUAGAUACAUUUUAUGAUGCUGCAUUAGAAUGGAAGAAAAUAUAAAUGGCUUGUCUGACUGAUUUAAUCUUGUCUCUUAUCCAGACGGUAGUCCCAGGUGGGAGUGGGCCCAGAGCAAGGCCUCAGUUCUAGUGAGCUGGACCCUGCUCAGAGGAAGCUGCUCAGGAAGGCGGGGCUAAACGAGGAGGAUAUGAAGGACAGACACACCCUCCUAGAGGGGCACACCCUGAGAUGAUCAGAAAGAGCUUUCGAUCAGUGAGAGAAUAUGACUGUGGCAAGUCAAUGACAGUUGUGGACAAUUUCCAAUACAUGUCUGUGACGCAGUGGUGACCUGUCAUUCAGGGCAGAGCCCCACCUGUUAAGCUUUUUGUUGCCUGUUUUUCAUGUUAUUUUGGCAUUAAUACAUGUCACACAUGUUUGCAAACAAUGUAAAAUAAUCAUUGAGUUAAUAAAGCUACAA